ACUACAGGAGAAGAGAUCAGGUAGAAAUUCAGUGUGAUCUAUGAGAUGAUUGCCUCUUAGAGAAGGGGAAAAUGACAGUUACCUUCCUGGUAAUGUAUUGCUUCUACCAGACAGAAGUUUCUGUUUUAGAAUGCGUACAGCCAACAGCUGAGUACCACAAACUCUUGGAAAUAUCUCUGUCAAGCUGAUAUAUUUCCAUUCCACUUUUGCAGCCAUAACAGUUCCUAUAAUUACAUGAAUAAGCAAGAGAUCAGGAACAUGGCUGCAGUUCCUAUAUUUUUUUCUUUAAUGCAAUUUAUAUAACUUAUAUAUUUAUAUAAUUUGCUAAACAUAUACACGCAGAAAGUAAAGGAGUAGGAGUACCCGGAAUGGCAAUGCUAUUUAGGAUUAAUUUGUAACAUAUAUCACUUUUCCUGUGUUCUUCCUAGAAAGUGGAGAAUAUUCCAUUACAGAGAGAAUGUGCCCAGUCACACAGUCACCCUAAGCUCAUUCCCAAGCCCCUUAGGCUAACUCACCUUAGAGUAGUAAAGAAUUUGUUUAAAAGCUCAAUCGCCAGUUAGAGGAAUUGUAAACAAAAGCAAUACUGAGAUAAAAAGACAAGUAUCAAGUGACCCAUGCAAAGGGAUUAGGAGGUGGCAGCCCUCCCUGCUGCAGAACUUAAUGUAGCUGAGUUUAAGACACUUGUUAUAAAGAGGCCUCAAGGGACAAAUUAUAAGUGAAAUAACAGCCUUCAUUGUGAAGCACCUUGCUUGUCAAACAUAAGUUAUUUUCACACUAUUUACAUUGGCACCAUUCUGGGAACAGACAGUAACAGCCUUUGCUUUUUAAUAGCUUAGAAAAUGCUUUAUAGAAGUUUACUCUCAUAAUGAAGCUAUUUCCCAUCUCUAGAUUUUUAGGGAUUAGCUUCCUUGUUUUGCUUUGAAUAGAGACCUAGUAAUCCUGUAGAGACAUUUUCUGUGUCCUGACCUUGGGAAAAUCUUUUUUUUUUUUCUUUUCUGAUUACCAAAAUGAGUCUAUCUACUCUCUUUUUACAAUAUUGUAGACAAAAAUGCUUAUAUCUGACUCUUCGCGGCUAUUCCAAUUUUCAACUUUGAUAGCAUAAUAAAUUAAGGCCCAGUCUUCGUCACUCAUAUCACAUCCAUAUAAUUUUCUUGCAUUAUUACAAGAGCCUAAGUUCAUUCUCUUGGAAAGCAUCAGAACAAAUGAGAGUGAGCACAAACUCAUACAGCUGAGACAUUUUCCAAAACAGAUGCUCAGGAAGCCUUGCUGAGUAAACAGUAAAUGUGCAACACCAUAAUGAGGCUGAGAAAGUGAAAGCAUGUGGCUUGUUAAGUAGGAGAUUUUUCUGCUCUUUAGAGCAGCAAAGAGAUUUCUGGAAGAUGCUGUCUGCGGAGAGUAGUGGAUGAAAAUUCAAAAGCUGGAUUAAGAAAAUCUGAGGAUAAAGGAGCAUAAUAUGUUUAUUAAGAAAGAGAAGUUGUGAUCUGUAAUGAGUGAUGUUUUGAGUUUGGCCCUCAGAGCAGAGCCAUCUCCUUGUGAUAUGGAGUUCUCUUGGCUGCCGAGCAGCUUCUGAUUUGUGACAGCAAGGACAGGUGCUACGUGCUCAGUAAAUCAAAGGAUAAAACACUUUUUAACAAUGUUAUAACAGAAUUUUAUCCUGUGCUGUGGCUUACAAAACACACUCUUGGAAAGUUACAAGAAACACCUAAUUCUACUGCACUCACCUCUUUACAAAUCUGCCUUGAUCCCAUGGCUAUUCUCUGAUUUCUCUCUCCAUACGGUGCUGCUGGACUCUGCUAUUAUUAGUGUACGGUUAAGAAGUAAUAUAAGUACUGUAUUUAUUACAUCAAGAGUUCCUAAUAAUUAUUAACAGUUUUGAAAAUAAAUGGUGUCUGCUUAGCUGAACAAGAUAUAACAGAGCUAACAUUUUGUACUCCUAACAAGUUCUGCAUAUAGUAUGGUGUAUAUUUAUUUCACACAAAAUGCUAGGUUGUUAUUUGAAACCCAAACUCAAAAAAAUGGACCGACUUUCUGAAUACUUGGUUUCUGGCAUUCAAUUUCAGUAGUAAAAGCAUAUAUGAUGUAUUGUAUUAACUUAAUUAUAUAUUAGAGAUGCUGCUGUACUUUGUGUUGAAAUGGAUCUGGAGUUCUUGGCACCUUUGCUAUUUUACAUAAUAAACACAUGGGGAUGAUCU
ensembl:lncRNA